UGGCGGCGUGCUUAACACAUGCAAGUCGAACGAUGAUCCCAGCUUGCUGGGGGAUUAGUGGCGAACGGGUGAGUAACACGUGAGUAACCUGCCCUUGACUCUGGGAUAAGCCUGGGAAACUGGGUCUAAUACCGGAUACGACCAUCUGGCGCAUGUCAUGGUGGUGGAAAGCUUUUGUGGUUUUGGAUGGACUCGCGGCCUAUCAGCUUGUUGGUGGGGUAAUGGCCUACCAAGGCGACGACGGGUAGCCGGCCUGAGAGGGUGACCGGCCACACUGGGACUGAGACACGGCCCAGACUCCUACGGGAGGCAGCAGUGGGGAAUAUUGCACAAUGGGCGCAAGCCUGAUGCAGCGACGCCGCGUGAGGGAUGACGGCCUUCGGGUUGUAAACCUCUUUCAGUAGGGAAGAAGCGAAAGUGACGGUACCUGCAGAAGAAGCGCCGGCUAACUACGUGCCAGCAGCCGCGGUAAUACGUAGGGCGCAAGCGUUAUCCGGAAUUAUUGGGCGUAAAGAGCUCGUAGGCGGUUUGUCGCGUCUGCUGUGAAAGACCGGGGCUCAACUCCGGUUCUGCAGUGGGUACGGGCAGACUAGAGUGCAGUAGGGGAGACUGGAAUUCCUGGUGUAGCGGUGAAAUGCGCAGAUAUCAGGAGGAACACCGAUGGCGAAGGCA
rnacentral:rRNA from 1 species